GAUGAACGCUAGCGGCAGGCUUAAUACAUGCAAGUCGAGGGGUAACAUGGUAGCAAUACUGAUGACGACCGGCAAACGGGUGCGGAACACGUACAGAACCUUCCUUUAAGCGGGGAUAGCCCAUAGAAAUGUGGAUUAAUACCCCAUAGCAAUAUUUAAUGGCAUCAUUAGAUAUUUAAAGAUUUAUCACUUAAAGAUGGCUGUGCGGCUGAUUAGGUAGUUGGNGCGGGUAACGGCCCACCAAGCCAUCGAUCAGUAACUGGUGUGAGAGCACGACCAGUCACACGGGCACUGAGACAC
rnacentral:rRNA from 1 species